UGCGACCAAACUCGAAUGGAACCAUGUGGUAAAGAAGAAAACCAUGAAAAUGCGGUACCAGUUAAUGACAAAGGAAAUAAACGCACUUUCAACUCAUUCAGUGAGCCUGCCUCACCCAAUUGUGCUAAGUAUUGACUAACAUGCUCCCAUGUGGUUUUUGUGCCCUCUCCAUUGAACUUAACAAAAUCUGGAAUUUUAUAUCCUGGAGGGCACUGGAUAGCAUCAAAGUACUCGGGGUACGGCUUUUGGUAAAUCCGAUUCCGAGGUAACUCAACUCCAAAAUUUUCUCGAAGCAUCUUAGCCAUCUCCUCUCUAAGAUUAGCUAAACCAUCAUCCAUAGUGGACGAUGAAGCUUGUGGCAGUGGCAUAGGAGGGGUAGGGUUACUAGCUGUAGGUAGGAAUUGUGGCAUGUAUGUCGACCCAUAAUUUGGUAGUGGUCGAGUGGUUGUAGCUGUAGGUAGGGUUUGGUUCGGCGUCACCACCGAACCUGGCAUGCUCAUAAUAGGAUUAAUGGGUGCAGCCACAAUCUGAUUUGUUUGGGUAGGAUAAUAAGUCAUCGGCACGGGAGGCGCCGAUGAGAUAGGUAAAGCCAGAUUAGGGUUUUGCACACUAGCAGCUACACCAUCAUUACCACUAGUCGAUUGAGAUGUAUUCUUCUGAGCAUUAGUAUUUUCUAUGAAAGUUUGAUAGACUAGAUUGUUACCAUCAGCAAUACGACUUUCAAUCUCAGCCCACUGCUCAGGAGAAAAGGUAGUACUUACAGAGGGUUUAACCUGCUCGGCUUGCAAAGGAGGGAACUUGAUUUCUUCAAUCGGAGUGAUGUUGCCUUGGCGAUCCUUCUUGAACUUUGCAAGGAACUCCUGCAAGUCCUUCUCCUCGCGCGCCUUCUUGUACUCCUCAUAGACUUGGUGAUGAUCGGCCGAUAUCUCAUCAAGACUGGGCUUAAUGAUGUUAUCGGCGUCUACCUCAGAUGGCUUGGGAAGAUCGGACAUGGUGGAUGAUGAUGAUUGAUCUUCGGUCCCCAGCGGAGUCGCCAAAAAGUGUUUUGACACACGAACACGUCACGUGUACCCUCGACGCCGGGGGUGAUGCACCGCAGCUCACGUCGAAGGAGACCCGACCGACAGCGCGAUAUGCAAGACAGUCGGCGGGUGCUUUUGCAGACCCGAAACCCCGCGCACCCGGGAGGGACCCCGUCAGGGAUUGCGGCGGCUAUGGGCUGCCCUAGGUCGAUUCGCUCGCCCCUAGAGCCUCGGGAUUCGCAGCUCUCAAACACGAAGAACAGCGAAGAACGAGAUAGAAAAACGGUGGAGAGAUAAAAAGUAGACAGGAAAAAGUAGUAUAUUGAUUUGUUCGAUUGUGUGUUGUUCAAUCGGCCGUCACCCCCAACAUAUAUAAGAGGCGGCUGGACUUCCCGUACAAGUAAAGGAUUCAUCUAGGCUUUCCUUACAAGAAAAAUUACAUCAAUUCACGUCCUAGAGUCCUAGUUCUAUUCCAACUCGGAUCCAGUCUGAAUCUGGCCCAACUUCUGUCUUCCUCCGUGUGCAGGCCGCCGAGCCUCCAUAUGACCUCCGAUCAAGAUGGCCCAAAUACCAAACUUGUGCGCCUCGACGAUAUGAACAACUCUCAUGUUGAUCACUUUUUCAAAUAAGGCCAUCUUGAAUACUUUUCGAGGUCAUCUUUACCUUCCAGUCGGACUCGGUCUUGCGGUAGACUGAAUUAUCCGAGUCUUGUAGUGAAUUUGCAGGCCAUAUACUAUCUCUGAUGACGAUGACUCCAAAAGCAAAGUUUACCGUCUUGACGAUACACACAACUUCUGUAUUGAACACUUCUUCAUCCGAGAUCAUCUUGAUAAACUUUUGGGCACAUGUUCAGUUUCACUCGGAUUUGAGCUCAUCCACUCGGAUUUUAGAGUCUUUCACUCGGAUGGUCCGACUGGACUUUUCAAUCGGAUGACUAUAUUUUCACUCAGAAGACAAUCAAUCGGUAGGUUUUCACUCGACCUUUUACUCGAUCGGUAGGUUUUCACUCGACCUUUUACUCGAUCGGUAGGUUUUCACUCGACCUUUUACUCGAUCGGUAGGUUUUCACUCGACCUUUUACUCGAUCGGUAGAUUUUCACUCGACCUUUUACUCGAUCGGUAGGUUUUCAUCCGAAAGGUAAGCUUUCACUCGACCGGUGAGUUUUCACUCGGAUGGUAAGCUUUUCACUCGACCGGUGAGUUUUCACUCGGAUGGUAAGCUUUUUCACUCGACCAAAAACAUAGCCUGAUCUUGAUUUGUCUCCCCAAGUCUUAUACGACCUCGGAUUGAGACGAAUUAUAUAUGAAAAUCGAUCGGCUCGACGAAGCGAAACUUUUUCGUGUUGAAGGUUUUUCGAUCCAAUGCCGUCUUGAAGGCCAAAUUGCUCGCGCGACCCAUCAGACAUGGCGUCUGGUACUUCGCGCCAUAUUUCCACUCAGCUUCGGCCCGCAGUGUAUUGCCUAUAACUUUUGCAUAUGAACUCGGAUUGAGAUGAUUUAUAUAUCAAAAUCGAUCGCCUCGACGAGACGAAGACAAUUCCUUUAGAGUACUCCUUCAUCCGAGGUCGUCUUGAAGGCAUGGUCGACCGAAAACCACUCGGAAUGUUGAAUUUUGUCACUCGGAGUACAACUUCGGCCACCGAGAUAAGGUCGAAUGGCGAUAAGUUAAACAUCAAAGUUAUUCCACUAGGCGACCUGAAACUUUGCAUGCUGAAAACUCUUUCACUUGAGGCCAUCUUACUUGCCUUUUGUACCUUGCCAAAAUCCAAUGUCAACACAUGCCCCCCUGUUUUUCGGCAAAGCUUGCAUGCCGAAAAAUAAUAUGCACGGUGUUUGUUCUAAGGACGAUGUCAACACUCGAUCGGCCAUUUAUUUUCCUCAGGGCGAUAAUUAUGUAUCGGCCAUGUUUGUGCUAAGGGCGAUAAUCGUAUAUCGGCCAUUGCCUACUCAGGCUUCCUGCCACACACUCGGGUGGUACUUCUUCAAAUAUUUUCCGUUGAGAGCUCGAGGUAACAAUGCCCCUUGUAUUGAUUCCACCAAAUAUGAAUUUCCAGGAACAACCCUUGUAAUCCUAAAAGGACCUUCCCAACUUGGAGACCACUUCCCGAAUUUUCUAUCUCUUGAACCAAUCGGCAGAAUCACUUUCCAAACGAGAUCACCAACUUGAAAAUUCUUUAACUUGACUUUCUUAUUGUAAGCCCUUGCUACUCUCAACUUAUCUCUCUCUAUGGCAUUCAAAGCAGCCAAACGUUUAUCAGCAACCUCGUCAAUGUUGUCCAUCAUCAAGUUAUAGAAGUCUAUUGCCGAUAAAUCAUUUUGUUUGGCUAUUCUCAAAGCAUUCAAAUUUACUUCCACCGGUAAAACAGCCUCCUGACCAUAUACUAGCUCAUAUGGAGUCACUUUCGUAGCACAAUGCCUUGAGAUUCUAUGUGCCCAUAAUGCCUCAGACAACAAGUCAUGCCAUCUCCUUGGAUUAUCCUCAAUCUUCUUUUUGAUGAGCUUGAUUAAAAUUUUAUUGCUAGACUCGGCUUGUCCAUUAGCUUGGGAAUAAUACGGAGAGGAAUUGAGCAACUUUAUAUUAUAAGAUUCGGCAAACUCUCUGACUUGGUGUGACAUAAAAGAUGAACCUUGAUCUGUAGUUAAUGUUUGAGGAAUACCGAAUCUAUGAAUAAUGUGCUUAGUUAUGAAUUGAAUUACCUCCGUAUGUGUCAUGUUCUUGAGAGGUACUGCUUCAGACCAUUUAGUGAAAUAAUCAGUUGCCACCAACACGAAUCGAUGCCCCUUUGAGGAAGAUGGAUGAAUUUGCCCAAUAAAAUCUAAACCCCAUCCUCUGAAAGGCCACGGCUUGAUAAUAGGAUGCAACAUAGCAGCAGGAGCCAAUUGAAUAUCACCAAAUUUUUGACAAGCUUCGCACCCUUUAUAAUAUCUGAAGCAAUCAUUAAUCAUGGUCGGCCAAUAAAACCCAGCACGUCGUAAUAACCAUUUCAUCUUAGGAGCCGACUGGUGAGUACCACAAAUUCCCUCAUGUACCUCUCCCAUAGCAACUCUUGCUUGGUCCUCAUCCAAGCAUUUUAAAAGAACAUCAUCAACUGUUCGGCGAUAAAGGUCAUCAUCCCUUAUAGUAUAUUUAAAAGCCAUACGCCGAACAGCCCUGUCCACCCUUUCACUCGGAUUGCGCAAGUAAGCAACAAUGGGCUUCCUCCAGUCGGAAUUGUCAUCUGCACUAGAUUUUUUGUUAAUGACCGAAUCAGUGGGUUCAGGUUCGGCCUCUCCCAUAUUGGCAAGACAAGAUAUCGGUCUUUGAGAAAUAUGAAACAUGCCACGAUCAACAUGAUAUCUAGAUGCUUGUUGUGCCAACUCAUUUGCUUUCCAAUUGUCAUGUCUAGAUAUAUGUGCAAUGCUAAAACAAUCCAAAGUAGAAAUUAUAUCUAGACAUUUAUCAAGAUAAACAUUAAGUGAUUCGUCCAAACACUGAAAGACUCUGGAUAUUUGCUGCACCACUAGUAACGAAUCACCGUAAGCCUCAAUAUGUGUAACACCUAUAGCAAGUAACAUCUCUAGACCGAAUAACAAUGCUUCAUAUUCGGCUUGAUUGUUUGUGCAAAAAUUUUCUAAGCGGCAUGAGGCUUCAAAAAUAGCACCACGAGGAGAUAUAUAAACAAUACCAACACCUUGGCCAUUGCUACAAACUGAACCAUCAAAGUACAAUCUCCAUGGCACUAAUGAAACAAGGUUCAUAUCAACAUCAUGCUUGUCAUUAAUCCGAUGUUCAACAAUGAAAUUAGCAACAAUUUGACCUUUCAUGGAUUUUAGAGAUUCAUAAGCCAAAUCAUACUCAAUCAAAGCAUAAGCCCACUUGCCAAUUCUACCACUAAGAAUUGGCCUAUGCAACAUGUACUUAAUGACAUCGGUUUGACAAGCUACUACACAAGCACUCGGCACUAGGUAAUGUCUCAAUUUUGUGCAAGCGUAAUACAAACAUAGACAUAGUUUUUCAAUAAAUGUAUACCUUGUCUCGGCGUCCAAUAAACGUCUGCUCAAAUAUGUAAUGGCAUGUUCUUUUCCUUCGGUAUCUUGAGUCAAAACAGCACCAAUAACACCUUCCUUUGCUGCGAUAUAAAGUUUAAAAGGCUCUCUAUGCUUUGGUGCUUUCAUCACCGGAGGAGUGCACAAAUAAUUCUUGAUCAUAUCAAAGGCUUCUUGCUGUUUUGCUCCCCAAGUGAAAUCAACAUCAUUUUUUAACCGAAGGAUAGGAGUAAAUGCAUCAACUUUCCCUGACAGAUUAGCUAUGAACCUUCUCAAAUAAUUUACCUUGCCAAGGAACUUUUGCAUAUCUCUCUUGCAUGUUGGAGCCUCCACUUUCUGUAUAGCCUCUAUCUUUUUGGGAUCGAUUUUGAUGCCAUCUUCAUGAAUAAUGAAACCCAAAAAUUUGCCAGCUGACACGCCAAAUGCACACUUCAAAGGAUUCAUCUUCAGUCCAUACUUUUUCAUCCUUUCGAAAGCUAAACGCAAAUCGGCCAAGUGAGAUUCAAAAGCAUCCGAUUUGACAACAAUAUCAUCAAUAUAAACUUCAAGUAUGACACCGAGUAAAUCAUGAAAAAUCAAAUUCAUAUCCCUUUGAUAUGUGGCCCCGGCAUUUUUCAAUCCGAAUGUCAUCACUGUCCACUCGAAUAAACCAAGGAAACCAGGACAUCGGAAAGCUGUUUUGUACAUGUCCUCUGCGGCCAUAAAAAUUGGAUUGUAUCCGGCAUUACCAUCUAGAAAGCUAAUAACCUUAUGUCCAGAAGCAUCAUUAAUAAGCAUAUCGGCUAUUGGCAUGGGAUACUCAUCUUUGGGUGUAGCCCUAUUCACAUCUCUGAAGUCAAUGCACACCCUCAACUUGCCGGAUCCCUUCUUCUCCACUGGGACAAUGUUAGAAAUCCACUCGGCAUACCUACAAGGUCGAAUGAAUUUAGCUUCAAGCAGUCGACCGAUCUCUUCCUUGAUCCGGUCAUAUGUUUUUGGAUCAAACUUUCUGGCCGACUGUUUAUAAGGUCUAAAACCGGCCUUUAUAGGCAACCGAUGCUCCACUAGCUCUCGGCUCAACCCUGGCAUCUCAUGAUAUUCCCAUGCAAAGCAACAAACAUAUUCUUUCAAUAGCUCGAUUAACUUAGUUUUACAAUCGGCUUUCAAAUUUUUGUUUAUAAAUGUCGGUCGACUGACUGAUCCAUCUCCGAUAUCUACCUCUUCUAACGGAUCGGCCGAUGUAAAACCUUGUCCAAGUUUAUCCAUAUCAUCCAACUCCUCAAUAGACUCAUACAUAUCGUUCUCGCUGGACCGAUAUUUUGCAAGACGUUUUUGUAACCACUCGGAAUUAGGAUCCAUUUAAACAUAUCAUACCUUGGAGCUGAUUGCAUUCAGUCGGCUUUAAAGACACGGGCACAAAACCAUUCUUGGUCGCACUGAGAAAAUCAAACUCUGAUAAGUCACGCCCCGUCAAGCAAGUAGCAUUGGGAUGUUGCCAAUCCACCGAUGCAUCGGCCAAAGCAACACAGGCCGAGUUAUCCGCAUGAAUGACUUCCACUUCAUCAUCAACCCACUGAAUAAAAAACUGGUGCAUAGUGGAUGGCACGCACUGGUUUGCAUGAACCCAAUCACGACCUAGUAUAACAUUGUAGUUACCUUGCACCUCAGCGACAAAGAAUGCAGUGGCCAAAGUUUUGCUUCCGACUGUAAGCUCCACAUACAUUACACCUUUGGCUUCAGUUUUCUCUUUGCCUUCAAACCCGUUGAGCACCAUAUUGGUCUUGAUCAAUUCUUCAUCAGGCAAACCCAAUUUCUUGAAGACCGAAUAGGGCAUAAGAUUUACCACAGCACCUCCAUCCACAAGCAUCCGAGUGAGCGGUGACCCAUUGAUAUGACCUCUGAGAUAUAACGAUUUUAGAUGCGUCACUGGUUCUUUUGGCUUCUCGAAUAUUGCGUUCUUAGGGCCAAAAUCCAGCUGAGCAACUUCCCCUUCCUCAUCUACAGCACGAAACUCAGCAGGUAAGUAAUACACCAUAUUGAUAUCCAUACCUUCAUGAACCGGUGUAGAUUCAUAGUCCAACAUAUCAGCCUCUUCUCCAAGUGGAUCGACCGAUUCUGAAAUCUGGCCGAGUGAAGGAGAACUAAGAAGUGCCACAGACGAUGUAAUAGCUGUCACAUCAUGCUCUUUGGGUGGUGUAGGCACUUCUGUGAUAGAUGUAGAAGCUGAUGUAUCUUGUAUUUGUUUUGGCCUCCACACUUGUUUUGCUGGAACCAUGGGCUGAGUGUCAUUGAACAACUUAUCCCUUUGCUUCUCGGCCUCCUGCUCCGCCAUCUCUUGACUCCUUAACCUCUGUAGUUUCCUCUUCUGUGUCUUUGUUAGCCCUGGAGGACACCACUUUGGCUGAGUGUAUUUAGGAUCUCUCGUUUUUACCUGGCUGGUGCUUGCUUCAUGGUCAUUAGCCGAGUGCUUUGGCGCGAUAGAAAGUAUCAGCUCAGUCGAGUGGUUAUGCACAGUCGGCUGCUGUAUGGGGAAUGUUUCGGUGCCCAAGAUAAGUGAGUCAACAUCCAUUUUCUCCUUGCCUUUUCCUGACUCAACUGCUGCAAAACUUGGUGAUUUAACACGCCAUUCUUUCCGACUUUCCAGAUGCAUGAAAUUUCCACUCGGGCGCACCUUUUUACUUGGAUGGAAUCCACUCGGAUUGAUGUCAUUCAGAUGGUAUCCACUCGGAUGGAACUCACUCGGAUGAGAUCUACCCAUCCACAUUUUUUCACUCGGAUAGUUUUCACCUGGGUGCAUUCUUACACUCGGAUAAUUUCCAUCCGGUCGCAUAUUUUGACCAGCCGACUGAUAGUCGCCAAUGUUCAGUCGGCCAUUAUAUGAGUAUUCAAGUCGGCCCCAAACAGUUUGCCUCUGCUCUUCUGGAAACAGUGCCUUUGGUCCACUCGGUUUUGCAUACCAACUGAACAUAUCAUCUGAUGGUGACCUUGGUCGCUUCAAGUGUGAUGGCCGGUUAGAGCUGGGACCAGCCGACUGAUUAGCAUAUUUGGACAACAACAUAUCAAAAGUUGGCUUGAUCCGCUUGCGUUGCACUUUAGCUUCAUUCUUCUUCCACUUGCCAACUUCUGGACUCUUGGGCUUGACAAAUUUAACACGAGUAUUUUCUUGCACUUGCGGUUGCCCCCCGAGUGUAGGAUUCUUGAUGGUGAUUUUGAUCACUUCCUUGCCAUCGGGUUGCUUAUCAAGCACAACCUGUCUCCCCAAGACCUUGUUGUCUUCCUUGUCUUUCCUGGGCUCACCAACAAUGACAUUAGCUUUAUUAGCAGAUUCGGCUACCUCCGGCCGAAUGAGUAACUUCUUCCCUUCUAAAUCCAUGGCGUUCAUUGGAAAGGGUUGUUUAUCAACUUGCAUCUCAGAAAAGUUCAAUCGUCCGUCAUUAAUGGCCGAUUGUAUCUGUCGUCGAAAAACAUUGCAAUCAUUAGUAGCAUGAGAAAAAGAAUUAUGAUACUUGCAAUAAGCACGCCGUUUCAGCUCUUCAAACGGCGGUAAAGUAUGAGAUAUUCUAAUAAUCUUAGCAUGCAGCAAAGCAUCAAAUAUUCUAUCACACUUAGCAAUGUUAAAAGUAAACUUCAUCUCUUCAUCACGAUUCUUAUGAAUCGGUUUCAGAUCAUUGCAAGUAAAGGGUUUGGCCUUAGAUGGCCAAACAAAUUCAGUAGAAAAAACAUCACCCUCAUCGUCCGAGUGAUCACUGUCAUAUUCCACCAUAUUCAUCUUUGGACGAUCGGCUUUGUAUCUAUGCACUUCUUUGAGGUCUUUGCUUCGGCUUUCCUGAGCCAAAGCCCUUUGUAAGACUUGGUUGAUGUUUAAGAACUCGUAGCCUUCUAGCUUUUCUCUAAUGGGAGUUCUCAAACCACUCAGCACUAGGUCUGCCAAGUCUCUCUUGGUUAUCACCAAACUAAAACACCGGUUAUUCGUUUCUCUGAAUCUCUUGACGUAAUCGGAGACCGAUUCAUCAUGCUUCUGCUUAACCGAUGUUAGAUGUGACAACUUGAGUUCAUUGUCGCCGCUAUAAAAGUGAUCAUGAAAUUUCUGCUCUAGCUGCGACCAAACUCGAAUGGAACCAUGUGGUAAAGAAGAAAACCAUGAAAAUGCGGUACCAGUUAAUGACAAAGGAAAUAAACGCACUUUCAAUUCAUUCAAUGAGCCUGCCUCACCCAAUUGUGCUAAGUAUUGACUAACAUGCUCCCAUGUGGUUUUUGUGCCCUCUCCAUUGAACUUAACAAAAUCGGGAAUUUUAUAUCCUAGAGGGCACUGGAUAGCAUCAAAGUACUCGGGGUACGGCUUUUGGUAAAUCCGAUUCCGAGGUAACUCAACUCCAAAAUUCUCUCGAAGCAUCUUAGCCAUCUCCUCUCUAAGAUUAGCUAGACCAUCGUCCAUAGUGGACGAUGGAGCUUGUGGCAGUGGCAUAGGAGGGGUAGGGUUACUAGCUGUAGGUAAGAAUUGUGGCAUGUAUGUCGACCCAUAAUUUGGUAGUGGUCGAGUGGUUGUAGCUGUAGGUAGGGUUUGGUUCGGCGUCACCACCGAACCUGGCAUGCUCAUAAUAGGAUUAAUGGGUGCAGCCACAAUCUGAUUUGU
rnacentral:lncRNA from 1 species